rnacentral:tRNA from 1 species
UGGGGCAUGGUGCAACGGCAGCACAGCGGCCUUUGGAGCCGUUUAUUCUGGUUCGAAUCCGGAUGCCCCAGCCU